AAAAGGAUGUAGUUGGCAUGUCGGGCCACAAGAUGGCGGUGAUGGUUGUUUUUGUAAUGAACCCACACAUACGUUCGGAGAGAAAAAUA